GGUCCCGUAGCUCAACUGGAUAGAGCACCAGACUUCUAAUCUGACGGCUGCAGGUUCGAGUCCUGCCGGGAUCG
rnacentral:tRNA from 1 species